AUUGAACGCUGGCGGCAGGCCUAACACAUGCAAGUCGAACGAGUGGCGGACGGGUGAGUAAUGUAUGGGAAACUGCCCGAUGGAGGGGGAUAACUACUGGAAACGGUAGCUAAUACCGCCUACCAUCGGAUGUGCCCAGAUGGGAUUAGCUAGUAGGUGGGGUAACGGCUCACCUAGGCGCCGAUCCCUAGCUGGUGUGAGAGGAUGACCAUCCACUCGGGAACGGAGACACGGUCCAGGCUCCUACGGAAGGCAGUAGUGGGGAAUAUUGCACAAUGGGCGCAAGCCUGAUGCAGCCAUGCCGCGUGUAUGAAGAAGGCCUUCGGGUUGUAAAGUACUUUCAGCGAGGAUGCGUUACUCGCAGAAGAAGCACCGGCUAACUCCGUGCCAGCAGCCGCGGUAAUUC
rnacentral:rRNA from 1 species